rnacentral:rRNA from 1 species
AUCUGGGCGGCGGAAUUCAGAAUGGCGAGGGCGUCUUCGCGGCGUUCUCGUCGUUUGAUAUUUCCGUCGCCAGUCACACUCAGACGUCGCGACCUGUUCGCGGUCGGUCCNUGCUUCGGAGGAGCCGCGUUCGAGUUCGUUGUGGGCGCGUUUCGGCGCGUUUCACGGCGAAGGCGCGGAUCUCUGGCUGGCCGUCGGACAGUACGCAUAACGGUGUCCGGUGCCGUAGUACUCGUACGCGCGCGCACCGGUACCGGUCAGCGACGAAUUCUUCGGGCCUCUUUCCGACCCGUCUUGAAACACGGACCAAGGAGUCUAACAUGCGCGCGAGUCGCGGGGUGUCGAGCGUACUUCGGUGCGUUCGUUAUGUUGCGAAACCCGUACAUGUCGAAGGCGUAAUGAAAGUGAAUGGGGAAGAUGGUGUUCCGAGUACACGUUCCGCGGUCGUCGGUAUCGCGGCCGGACACCCGCAUUCCCGGGGCGUCUCAACGGCCCGUCGCGGAUGUCGGCCGUCGUCUCUCGGGGCGGCGGUCAGUCUGCGACGAACCGA